rnacentral:rRNA from 1 species
AUUGAACGCUGGCGGCAGGCCUAACACAUGCAAGUCGAGCGGAUUUUGGGGGCUUGCUCCCAAGGUUAGCGGCGGACGGGUGAGUAACGCGUAGGAAUUUGCCCAGUAGUGGGGGAUAACGUUCCGAAAGGAACGCUAAUACCGCAUACGCCCCAUGGGGGAAAGCAGGGGAUCUUCGGACCUUGCGCUAUUGGAGAAGCCUGCGUCGGAUUAGCUAGUUGGUAGGGUAAAGGCCUACCAAGGCGACGAUCCGUAGCUGGUCUGAGAGGAUGAUCAGCCACACUGGGACUGAGACACGGCCCAGACUCCUACGGGAGGCAGCAGUGGGGAAUAUUGGACAAUGGGGGCAACCCUGAUCCAGCCAUGCCGCGUGUGUGAAGAAGGCCUUCGGGUUGUAAAGCACUUUCAGUAGGGAGGAAAAGUUGGCGGCUAAUAUCCGUUGACCCUGACGUUACCUACAGAAGAAGCACCGGCAAACUCCGUGCCAGCCGCCGCAGUAA